UAAGAUUGGCGUGGUGCCCAUGACAUC
rnacentral:piRNA from 1 species